CCUACGGGUGGCUGCAGUCGAGAAUCUUCGGCAAUGAGCGCAAGCUUGACCGAGCGACGCCGCGUGCGGGAUGAAGGCUUUCGGGUUGUAAACCGCUGUCAGUGGGGAGGAAAUUCAUGGGGGCACUCCCCCUUGAUUGACCGAUCCGCAGAGGAAGGACGGGCUAAGUUCGUGCCAGCAGCCGCGGUAAGACGAACCGUCCGAACGUUAUUCGGAAUCACUGGGCUUAAAGAGUGCGUAGGCGGCUUAUCAGGCGGGGUGUGAAAUCCCUCGGC
rnacentral:rRNA from 1 species